rnacentral:rRNA from 1 species
UACACUCCUGCGGGAGGCAGCAGUGGGGAAUUUUGGACAAUGGGCGAAAGCCUGAUCCAGCAAUGCCGCGUGAGUGAAGAAGGCCUUCGGGUUGUAAAGCUCUUUUGUCAGGGAAGAAACGGUGAGAGCUAAUAUCUCUUGCUAAUGACGGUACCUGAAGAAUAAGCACCGGCUAACUACGUGCCAGCAGCCGCGGUAAUACGUAGGGUGCAAGCGUUAAUCGGAAUUACUGGGCGUAAAGCGUGCGCAGGCGGUUUUGUAAGUCUGAUGUGAAAUCCCCGGGCUCAACCUGGGAAUUGCAUUGGAGACUGCAAGGCUAGAAUCUGGCAGAGGGGGGUAGAAUUCCACGUGUAGCAGUGAAAUGCGUAGAUAUGUGGAGGAACACCGAUGGCGAAGGCAGCCCCCUGGGUCAAGAUUGACGCUCAUGCACGAAAGCGUGGGGAGCAAACAGGAUUAGAUACCCUGGUAGUCCC